rnacentral:rRNA from 1 species
CGUGCCUACGGGAGGCAGCAGUGGGGGAUAUUGCACAAUGGGGGGAACCCUGAUGCAGCGACGCCGCGUGAGUGAAGAAGUAUUUCGGUAUGUAAAGCUCUAUCAGCAGGGAAGAAGAAAGACGGUACCUGAGUAAGAAGCCCCGGCUAACUACGUGCCAGCAGCCGCGGUAAUACGUAGGGGGCAAGCGUUAUCCGGAUUUACUGGGUGUAAAGGGAGCGUAGGCGGGAUUGCAAGUUGGAUGUGAAAACUGCGGGCUCAACCCGGAGCGUGCAUUCAAAACUGCGAUUCUUGAGUGAAGUAGG